GACGAACGCUGGCGGCGUGCCUAAUACAUGCAAGUCGAACGCUUCUUUCCUCCCGAGUGCUUGCACUCAAUUGGAAAGAGGAGUGGCGGACGGGUGAGUAACACGUGGGUAACCUACCCAUCAGAGGGGGAUAACACUUGGAAACAGGUGCUAAUACCGCAUAACAGUUUAUGCCGCAUGGCAUAAGAGUGAAAGGCGCUUUCGGGUGUCGCUGAUGGAUGGACCCGCGGUGCAUUAGCUAGUUGGUGAGGUAACGGCUCACCAAGGCCACGAUGCAUAGCCGACCUGAGAGGGUGAUCGGCCACACUGGGACUGAGACACGGCCCAGACGCCUACGGGAGGCAGCAGUAGGGAAUCUUCGGCAAUGGACGAAAGUCUGACCGAGCAACGCCGCGUGAGUGAAGAAGGUUUUCGGAUCGUAAAACUCUGUUGUUAGAGAAGAACAAGGACGUUAGUAACUGAACGUCCCCUGACGGUAUCUAACCAGAAAGCCACGGCUAACUACGUG
rnacentral:rRNA from 1 species